GUGUCUGAGCAUGCGGCAGCAUCACAUGGCGGGGGGAUUUGGGGGAUUGAUGAGGCCGACGGCAUCCGAUGAGACGAUGCACAUGCACUGACAGUCAUUAGGGAGACACCGAGACGCGCGUGCACAUAGGCGAGUAAUCACGCACACACUCACGUGAACCCACAUUGGAUAUGAUCCGCUCCUAGACUAUGGCACCGUCAGGUUCGCGGAAUGUCAAACGGAGCUGCAAGAGAGUUUUCUACUGGAUCCCGGUCCUAUUCAUCGCACUCAUAGUGGCUUGGUCGUACUACGCCUACGUUGUGCAGCUUUGUUUGGUUUCAGUUGAAGACACAUGGGAGAAGGUUGUCUAUUUAAUGGUGUACCAUGUCAUCUUCAUCAUGUUUAUUUGGGCUUACUGGCAAACCAUCUUCACCAAGCCCAUGAACCCUUUGAGGGAGUUCUGCCUGUCUUACUCGGACAAGGAGCUGCUGGAGCGUGAAGACCGGGGUGAGUCUCAGCAGGAGAUCCUGAGGAGAAUAGCUAAGGAGCUGCCUAUCUACACACGCACCAACUCUGGAGCAAUCCGUUUCUGUGACCGCUGCCAGCUGCUGAAGCCUGAUCGAUGUCACCAUUGUUCAGUUUGUGAUGAAUGCAUUCUAAAGAUGGAUCACCACUGUCCCUGGGUGAACAACUGUGUGGGAUUCUCCAACUAUAAAUCAUUUAUGCUGUUUUUGGCAUAUUCGCUACUGUAUUGCCUUUUUAUAACUGCUACAGACCUUCAAUACUUCAUUAAGUUUUGGAUGGCUGGGGGUAAAGCCCAUUUUCGUCUGAAAGAAUACCUGAAUGGCUUUCCAGACACUCAGGCCAAGUUCCACAUCCUGUUCCUCUUCUUCUCUGCCUCCAUGUUCUCAGUCAGCCUCGCUUCACUUUUCAUCUAUCACUGCUGGCUUGUCUUCAAGAACAGAUCCACUCUUGAGGCGGUUCGUGCGCCAGUGUUUCGUCAUGGUACAGACAAGAACGGUUUCAGUCUGGGCUCCAGUAAGAAUUUCCGUCAAGUGUUUGGUGAUGAAGCCAAAUACUGGCCUUUCCCGAUUUUCUCCAGUUUAGGGGAUGGGUGCUCAUUCCCAACAUGCCUGGUGAAUAUUGACCCUGAGCAACCCUCUUCGCCCACUAGCUACAACCCUGCACAAAAAGGUACUGCAGAGGUUCACCACUUCCCUUUCAAAUCAGUGAGGGAGAGUCAAAGCCGGUUGCUCAGCAGUACCGCCUCUUGGACUGAAAGUGACAUCGCGGCAGAUGACAAGAAUGGCACUAAUAACCCACUGAUGACCACAGAAAAUGAGCCAUAGGGAAACAGAUCUUCUAUUGAGAAGUGUAAGUUUACAUACAUAAAGACAUUACCUACAUACAGUGGGUACGGAAAAUAUUCAGACCCUCUUAAAUUUUCCACUCUUUGUUAUAUUGAAGCCAUUUGCUAAAAUCAUUUAAGUUCAUUUUUCCUCAUAAAUGUACACACAUGACCCCAUAUUCACAGAAAAAAAUGUAAUUUUUGCAGAUUUAUUAAAAAAGAAAAACUGAAAUAUCACACAGCCAUAAGUAUUCACACCCUUUGCUGUGACAGUCAUAUUUAACUUGGUUUCUUCUGAUCAUCCUUGAGAUGGUUCUACACGUUCAUUGGAGUCCAGCUGUGUUUGAUUAUACUGAUUGGACUUGAUUAGGAAAGCCACACACCUGUCUAUAUAAGACCUUACAGCUCACAGUGCAUGUCAGAGCAAAUGAGAAUCAUGAGGUCAAAGGAACUGCCUGAAGUGCUCAGAGACAGAAUUGUGGCAAGGCACAGAUCUGGCCAAUGUUACAAAAAAAUUCUGCUGCACUUAAGGUUCCUCCAUAAUCCUGAAAUGGAAGAUGUUUGGGACGAGGUGGCCGUCCGGCCAAACUGAGCACUUGGGGGAGAAGAGCCUUGGUGAGAGAGGUAAAGAAGAACCCAAAGAUCACAGUGGCUGAGCUCCAGAGAUGCAGUCGGGAGAUGGGCGAAAGUUCUAGAAAGUCAAUCAUCACUGCAGCCCUCCACCAGUUGGGGCUUUAUGGCAGAGUGGCCCGACGGAAGCCUCUCCUCAGUGCAAGACACAUGAAAGCCCGCAUGGAAUUUUCUAAAAAACACCUGAAGGACUCCAAGAUGCUCCAGGGACAGGAUGACUGGUUGCAAUCGAAGGAAAGAUGAAUGGGACCAAGUACAGGGGUAUCCUGGAGGAAAGCCUUCUCCAGAGUACUCAGGACCUCAGACUGGGCCGAAGUUUCACCUUCCAACAAGACAAUGACCCGAAGCACACAGCUAAAAUAACGACGGAGUGGCUUCAGAACAACUCCGUGACUGUUCUUGAAUGGCCCAGGCCGAGCCCUGACUUAAACCCAAUUGAGCAUCUCUGGAGAGAUCUGAAAAUGGCUGUCCACUAACGUUCACCAUCCAACCUUAGAGAACUGGAGAGGAUCUGCAAGGAGGAAGGAUCCCCAAAUCCAGGUGUGAAAAACUUGUUGCAUCAUGCCCGAAAAGACUCAUGGCUGCAUUAGCUCAAAAAGGUGCUUCUACUAAAUACUGAGCAAAAGGUCUGAAUACAUAUGGCUGUGUGAUAUUUCAGUUUUUCUUUUUUAAUAAAUCUGCAAAUAUUUCAACAAUUCCUUUUUUUUCUGUCAAUAUGGGGUGCUGUGUGUACAUUAAUGAGGAGAAAAAUGAACUUGUAUGAUAUUAGCAAAUGUCUGCAAUAUAACAAACUGAAAAAUUUAAGGGGGGUCUGAAUACUUUCCGUACCCACUGUAUGUGAUUACCGUUGAAUGCCAUAGAAUGUUUUUUCUAAUUUAACAGGUCAGUGCUGCUCCCUUCUCAGUGGGAUGUGUAGCAAUGGUGACAUAACUAGUGCAUUUUCCUGACGUCUAAACAGUGUUAACUUCAAUGUCAGCAGCAUGCCCUUUUGGUCUCUGAAAGGACUUUCAUAGUAAAGUGUGACAAUUCUCACUUUGUAUUCCAACGACCUUGAUAUCCUUUUGAUGUCAAACUCAAGGCCCGGGGCCCAGAUCCAGUCAACCACAUCAGUUUGCGUGGCUGACUACAGCAACUACUUCGUUUCUUUCUAAAUGAAUUUGUUCUUUUCAUUUUUGUAAAAAUAUGCAGAAAAUUCUUUACUUUUUCUCAGUGUUUACUGAUUCUACAAGCAUUUCUUUUCACCAAAUCCCAUAAUAUAAAUUGUGCAAUUAUAUUUGUUUGGUUGUCACUUUUACAUGGCUUUUGAUUUCAAAUGCAAUUGGUUGUUAAACAUAUAUAUAUAUAUAUACCAAUAAAAUGCUGGGGAAAUUGUGUAUAUUAUAUGAUAUUCAGUCAUAACGCCCCUCUGAGGAAAACCAUAACCAUGAUUUGGCCCGGGAUGAAAAUGAGUCUUACACCCUUUGUAAAAAAUAAAUAAAUAAAUAAAUAAAAAAUGCCCUAAGUUAUUGACUGUUUGUAAAUGGAGGACCAGUGGCAAUGUUUUCAUGCUAAGCUGCAUAUGAGAAUAACUGUAUUGUGUUGUAACUUCUCUGCAAAGCAAGAGAUUGGUUGUUUACCUAUGGUAUGGUGCAUUUCAAAAGUUGAUUAUCAUAGAAAACUUUAAGUAGUUUAAUUACAAAAAUGAAAAUCAUAAUUAUAUACUGUAUAUUCACUACAUACAGUGAAAUAUUUGUUUAUAUGAUUAUAGCCAAAAGUCACAAGACAUUGGAAAAUUACAUAAGAAACAAUAUUUUUUAAAAUGAAUACAGAAAUUAGGUAGGAAUAUGUAAUGAAUCUCCACUACUCUCAAAAACAAAAUUUCAACUGCACCUUUACUGGUGAACUUAAUUUGACUUCUAAACGUUUAAAUGCACAUUUGCAACUGUUCAACAUUUAAGUACUUUUUGAACAACUUGUUCUCAAAUAAAGUCAUAACAGGUGUUUGAUCCAUGAAUCAACCAAUACAUUUCCAGGUUCAAUUAGAAUUGGUAUUUAAACAGUCUUCUAUCGUGUUGUUCACAUUUUGACAUCGUGAGACCAAGACGAAAAAUUGAUCAGCAGUAACCUGCUACAAGGAUUCUAACAAGAAUCGGUACAUAAGAAUUGUUCUCUGCAAGUGUCACAGAGUGGCAUCAGAAGGUUGCAACAGAGAUACAGAGACUGGAAGAGUCACAGAAAGGCACAAAAGUGGACAACCCUGUAAAUAUAUAAUUUAUAUGAACAGUUGGACGUGUAUUAAAAAAUUAUUAACUCAUAUCAAGUUCAUGUGUAAUGGUUAGAGUGCGUUUUAGGUUCAUCCUGAAAUUUCACCCAAAAUCCGAAUAUCCCUAACUUUUUCCACUUUUGAAGUUCUGAAAAUAAUGAACUUUUCUAUGACAUAAUAAAAUUCAUUGAGAUGCACUUGUAUAUUCAAUUUUGAAUUUAAUCAUGCUGUAAAAUUUGAAAAAUGUUAACGUCUUUUUUUUGUUUUUAAAGCCCCAUCGUGACAGCUAAGCUCUAUUUUUCUAUCCUUCUGUCUGUGUGAGUCUAAAUCCAGUGUGGACGUGAUCUAUUUUUGUGAUCUUUACAACAAUUGAAGAAAAAUGUUUAUCAUCUCA